rnacentral:rRNA from 1 species
AUGUCAUUGUUAGCGUUGUCAUACCCGAUGGUGGCGGUGAUGGCGGCAGCGGCACUCGUGGUAGUAGCCGUCGGAGCAGCAGCACCGGCGCCGAUAGGUAAACGCGGCUGCGAAACGCGGUGCGGCGACGUGAGCGUGCCGUACCCGUUCGGCUUCGGCCCGGACAGGUGCUCCGCAGCGCCAGGCUUCAAGCUCGCCUGCGUCCACGGCAACAGUACCGGUACCAGCUCCGGACCAGGCACACGGCUCCUCCUGGGAAAGGAUGGAGUCUUCGAGGUCAAGGAGAUCUCGCUGGAAAACAGGAAGGUUCGUGGCCUCAUGCCCCCUAUCUUCAGAAACGGCGCUAUCAACAACACUAGCAACGCCACCAUGAGGUCUAUGGGCUUCGGUGACAAGCAGUGUCAGUACUCCCUGCCGACCAGCACCGAGCUGGUGGUCACGGGAUGCAACGUGCAGGUGACGCUCCUCUUCACGUCUCGUACUAGCACCUACGGCUACACCACCGGCUGCUGCUCUCACUGUAACCGCAGUGGUGUGCUCACCGCCGACGACGUCUGGAACAACUACAUGGUCGGCUACUGCACUACCCCGGUCUUCUCGUACCUUGAGUCCUAUAACGUGGAGCUCAAGCGGCUCGUCGGGAACAGCACCAUAAACGACGAUCUGCCCGUGUACGCGUUCAUCGCCGAGGAAGGUUGGUUUGAUUCGGGCCGGGCGAUUCAUCUUAUGAACCUGGGCGCACGUCGCUCCGGACCCAAGGUCGUGGAUAAUAAUCUUGUGGUUCCCCUGACCAUUGACUGGGCAUGCCGGAACGACGGAUCCUGCAACGCAUCCGUCAGCGCUAACUCCAACUGCAGCACCCACUUUGCAGACUACGGAUGUCACUGCAAUCCUGGAUACAAGGGAAACCCUUACAUCACUGAUGGAUGCCAAGAUAUCGACGAGUGCAAGAAGCCAGAAGACCAUGGGUGUUUCGGCGAAUGUCGCAAUAAGCUUGGAUCAUUCGACUGCUGGUGCGCGCGAGGAGGAAACGCAAGCCAACCUAAUGGAUGCCACAAGACCACAUCGAAUAGAGGUUUAGUUAUUGGUCUCUCCGUUGCACUUGGCCCAUCCCUCAUUCUCUUCUUUCUGGGUGGAUUGUUAAUAGUUCGUAAGCUUAAGCAUCACAGGGCUGAAAAGUUGAAACGGAAGUUCUUCAAUCAAAAUCAUGGACAGCUAUUGCAACAGCUAGUAUCUCAAAGGUCUGACAUUGGUGAGAGGAUGAUCAUCCCUCUAAAAGAAAUAGAGAAGGCCACAAACAAUUUUGAUCAAACACGCAAACUCGGUGGUGGAGGGCAUGGUACUGUUUACAAAGGAAUAUUGUCAGACUUACAUGUUGUGGCCAUUAAAAAGUCAAAUAUUAUGGUCCAGAGAGAAAUUGAUGAGUUCAUAAAUGAGGUUGCCAUACUAUCACAAAUCAACCAUAGGAAUAUUGUCAAGCUUCAUGGUUGUUGUCUCGAGACAGAAGUCCCACUGUUGGCAUAUGAGUUCAUUUCCAAUGGAACCCUUGGUGAUCAUCUUCAUAAUGAAUCACCAAAAUCAAUAUCUUGGAGUGACAGGCUAAGGAUUGGAAGUGAAGUAGGAAGAGCUAUUGCUUACCUUCAUUCUGCCGUUUCAGUUCCUGUAAUACAUAGAGACAUCAAAUCUUCUAACAUACUUCUUGAUGAUGCUUUCACGGCAAAAUUAUCAGACUUUGGAGCUUCAAGGUACAUUCCUAUCAAUCAGACUGGUAGAACAGCAACAGCAGUGCAAGGAACUAUAGGAUAUCUGGAUCCUAUGUACUACUACACGGGCGGCUGUCAGAAAAGAGUGAUGUUUAUAGCUUCGGAAUCCUUCUAGUGGAGUUGCUUACGAGGAAGAUGCCAAACAUGUAUAGAACUUCAGAAGGUGAUGGAAUUGUUGCACAAUUUGUUGAACUCCUAGAGGAAGGCAAACUAGUUGUCAUACUAGAUUCCCAAAUUGUAGAGGAGGGAGGUAGUGAAGUUGAUGAAGUAGCUGCUCUCGCUGCAUCAUGUAUAAAGUUAAGAGGAGAGGAGAGGCCUACCAUGAGGCAAGUUGAGAUGGCACUCGAAGGCAUUCAGGCAAACAAUCAAUUCGUCCUAAAUGAUUUGACGGGCGAGCAAAAUGAAGAAAACGACUCAAUUUCAACCAAUUUCAGCUUAUAGGAACUGAGCUAA